rnacentral:tRNA from 1 species
CCAUCCGUAGCUCAGCGGCAGAGCACUGGUCUGAAACACCGGGGGUCGCAGGAUCGAAACCUGCCGGAUGGACCA